rnacentral:rRNA from 1 species
UACGUAGGGUGCGAGCGUUAAUCGGAAUUACUGGGCGUAAAGCGUGCGCAGGCGGUUUGUUAAGACAGAUGUGAAAUCCCCCGGGCUUAACCUGGGAACUGCAUUUGUGACUGGCAAGCUAGAGUAUGGCAGAGGGGGGUAGAAUUCCACGUGUAGCAGUGAAAUGCGUAGAGAUGUGGAGGAAUACCGAUGGCGAAGGCAGCCCCCUGGGCCCAAUACUGACGCUCAUGCCACGAAAGCGUGGGGAGCAAACAGGAU